AUUGAACGCUGGCGGCAGGCCUAACACAUGCAAGUCGAGCGGAUGAAGGGAGCUUGCUCCUGGAUUCAGCGGCGGACGGGUGAGUAAUGCCUAGGAAUCUGCCUGGUAGUGGGGGAUAACGUCCGGAAACGGGCGCUAAUACCGCAUACGUCCUGAGGGAGAAAGUGGGGGAUCUUCGGACCUCACGCUAUCAGAUGAGCCUAGGUCGGAUUAGCUAGUUGGUGGGGUAAAGGCCUACCAAGGCGACGAUCCGUAACUGGUCUGAGAGGAUGAUCAGUCACACUAGAACUGAGACACGGUCCAGACUCCUACGGGAGGCAGCAGUGGGGAAUAUUGGACAAUGGGCGAAAGCCUGAUCCAGCCAUGUCGCGUGUGUGAAGAAGGUCUUCGGAUUGUAAAGCACUUUAAGUUGGGAGGAAGGGCAGUAAGUUAAUACCUUGCUGUUUUGACGUUACCAACAGAAUAAGCACCGGCUAACUUCGUG
rnacentral:rRNA from 1 species